rnacentral:lncRNA from 1 species
AUGCACUCUUCAAUAAUAAAAGUUGGUUCGCGGCUGGAGGCCUGUGCCCUUGAUGAGACACUGUUUACCUGUCCGCUUUGUCCAAAGUUAAAGACAUCUGCCAAAAAGAUGAAUGGACACAUGGAAGGCCACAUAAACAUGGCAGUACAUUUUAAAGAUAAAAUUCUUUGCAGAUGUAACCUGCCAUGCAGACGCUUGCCACAUUACCACUGCCCGUACUGUUUAAGGACCAUCAUAAAAAUGAAAGAUGCAGAAAUUCAUGUAAAGGCCUGUUACUCCAAGACCACUUCACUUUCACCAUCAAUUGGGCUGUUACCUUUAUCCCAGCCACCAGUCAUGACACAAAUAAUGUUGUUACAAGACCAUAAUUACGCCCUGGAAAAGGAACAUUGUAUGCCCACUGCAGACACACUGCUGUCGCCAACCGUGCCCGAUGCCGUGACCCUGGAGCCGCCGGCCGUGACCCUGGAGCCGCCGUCUGUGCCUGAUGCAGAGAUGCUCACACCGUCGCGUUCUGUAGCUAUAGAUCCUGAGUGCCCACAGUCCCUGGUUUCGCAGAAUGUUUUCCCCGUGAUGCAAGACCACGACUACUUGCAAAACUCUACAUUGAUGUCUGAAAACAGUUCAGUUUCCCCUGAAGCACUGGAUUUACGAUCAUCACGUGUGAAAUACUUGAAGGUGGUUAAGUGCCCACACUGUGCACUUGUACUCUAUAAGAAGAACUUGGCCACACACAUUCAGAGAAAACACAAAAAAACAAAAGACAAUACUGCUACCUACCAUCUCAAAUGUGUAUGUGUUGAUGAAACUCAUGGGGAAUAUGCUGUCCAAAAAGAAGACUGUCAAAGCUUCUCUGUGCCUGUUCAUGUCCAGCAUAAGACUGACACCAAGCGUGAAGCUGUGGAGUGCGGUCAGAGUCAGCUGCUUGCACUAAAAGGUGGUCUUUCCAGUUUGUGUGAACACAUCCAAUCACUGGACAGUUGUGCAAACACUGCUACAGAUAAUUUCCUUAAAGCUGAAGUUCUUGAGGAGAUGUUGGCAUUUAGGGAGAUUUUGAAUUCUCAUUUAAGACCAUUAAAAGACCUUGUCAAAUGAGACUUGCAUCUGUCACAUUGUAUGUGUUUGUCACAAUUGUCUGUCCUAGUUCAUGUAUAUAAUGUUCUCUGUUUUCUAUGGCUGUACAAUUUCAGUUGAGCAGUGAAUUGGAUGUGUCAAAUAAAAACAGCACCGAUCAGUCA